GGGGGGCUGCUGAAGGUGAGUCUGGAGUGAGUGGGUGGGCCAGGGUGCAUGGGAGCCACAGGGCAAGUGUGGAGCCCUUGGGGUGGGCAUGGCUGUGGGGUGAGCCCCGGCCAGGCUCUACUCAGCUCUCCCCUCUCCGUGCUCAUGCCCAGCCCUGCCUGCAGUACUGGCCAGAGCCAGGCCGGCAGCAAUAUGGCCUCAUGGAGGUGGAGUUUAUGUCAGGCACAGCAGAUGAAGACUUAGUGGCUCGAGUCUUCCGGGUGCAGAACAUCUCUCGGUUGCAGGAGGGGCACCUGCUGGUGCGGCACUUCCAGUUCCUGCGCUGGUCUGCAUACCGGGACACGCCUGACUCCAAGAAGGCCUUCCUGCACUUGCUGGCUGAGGUGGACAAGUGGCAGGCCGAGAGUGGGGAUGGGCGCACCAUUGUGCACUGCCUAAACGGGGGAGGACGCAGCGGCACCUUCUGCGCCUGCGCCACGGUCCUGGAGAUGAUCCGCUGCCACAACUUGGUGGACGUUUUCUUUGCUGCCAAAACCCUCCGGAACUACAAACCCAACAUGGUGGAGACCAUGGAUCAGUACCACUUUUGCUACGAUGUGGCCCUGGAGUACUUGGAGGGGCUGG
rnacentral:sRNA from 1 species